UCAUUUGAAACUCUUUGUUAUUUACCUUCACAGCAGAAAGACAGCUCUAUCACAAGUAACAGACAUGGAAUAAGCAGGAUUUUGUAACCCCGGAGGUGGACUACUUUAUACCUGCAGCACAUGACACACAAUGGAGCUGAAAGGAAAUGCUUCUCAUGCUCUUUCGGGUGAUAAUGACAGUGAAAGGAUUGACCCCUAUGGCUUUGAGAGACGUCAGGAUUUUGAACCCUACAAGGAGAUGAUGACAGAAUAUGUAGCAGUGCUAAACAGAAGGUCAAUGAGAUGGGACAAACUGCUUCAGGAGAAACCACAUGUGGAGAAAAACCUGACAGUGAAGCGCUACGUGCGUAAAGGUGUGCCUAAUGAGCACCGUGCCAGAAUCUGGAUGGCGGCCAGUGGCGCUCAGGACAGACUGGAGAGAAACCCGGGUUACUACCACGCUCUGCUGAGCAUGGAGCACGACACCAAGCUGAAGGAAACCAUCCACACAGACAUGCACAGGACCUUCCCAGACAACAUCCUCUUCCAGAGCAAAGCAGAACCGAGCCUGCAGAGGGCUCUGUUCAAUGUGCUGCUGGCCUACGGACACCACAAUAAGGAAGUGGGCUACUGUCAGGGCAUGAACUUCAUUGCAGGCUACCUCAUGAUCAUCACCAAAAAUGAAGAGAACUCCUUCUGGCUCAUGGAUGCAUUGUUGGGAAGAAUGCUCCCAGACUUCUACAGCCCGGCCAUGAUGGGCCUGAAGACAGACCAGGAGGUUCUCGGGGAGCUAGUGAAGGCCAAAGCUCCUGCAAUCGGACAACUCAUGGACCAGUUUCCCGGCAUUUGGACACUAGUAGUGUCCCGCUGGUUCAUCUGCCUCUACAUUGACGUACUCCCAAUUGAGACAGUUCUACGGGUCUGGGAUUGUCUCUUCUACGAGGGCUCAAAGGUUCUUUUCCGUGUUGCUCUGACUCUCAUCAUUCACCACCAGCCGGAGAUCCUGCGAGCUCGUUCACUCACGGACGUGUGUGAGUGCUUCAAACAAAUCACCUGCGGAGCUUUCACCCUGGACUGCCACACCUUCAUGCAGAAGAUCUUUACAGAACCUGGGAGCCUGUCGAUGGGAACCAUUAAUAAACUCAGAGAGAAAUGCAGACAGCGGAUACUGGAGGAGGAAUCUGGACGCCGGUAAAAUUUUGGAUCCACCCUUUAUCAGUGGACUACAAAAACCCUUUUAUUCAGUAUCUUGCAUCGAUGACGGGAGAUUCGGACCACUGCGCAAAGUCUUCUCCAGCACAUCCCAAAGAUUCUCAAUGGGGUUCAGGUCUGGACUCUGUGGUGGCCAAUCCAUGUGUGAAAAUGAUGUCUCGUGCUCCCUGAACCACUCUUUCACAAUUUGAGCCCGAUGGAUCCUGGCAUUGUCACCUUGGAACAUGCCCGUGCCAUCAGGGAAGAAAAAAUCCACUGAUGGAAUAACCUGGUCAUUCAGUAUAUUCAGGGAGUCAGCUGACCUCAUUCUUUGGGCACACUGCUGAACCUAGACCAGACCAACUGCAGCAACCCCAGAUCACAGCACUGCCCCCCACAGGCUUGUGACCUUUUUGUUUUGGCCGGGCAGUGUAUACAAUUAUAAUAUAUGUGUAAAACUGGCAGUGUCUAAUGGAAAGCAAAUAUUGAUGUCUUUUGCACUAAAAUACUGUUGAAACUUUCCGAAGUAAAAUGAGAUAUCCUCAUUUACAGAA